rnacentral:rRNA from 1 species
AUGGGGUCGUCGGAGGCCGACGACGACCAGCUCCUCAAGAGCUUCCUGGCCGAGGUCAGCGAGGCCGAGCGCGACAACGAAGUCCUCAGGAUACUUGGUUGCUUCAAGUUAAACCCUUUUGAGCAUCUUAAGUUGUCUUUUGAUUCUUCUGUGGAUGAGGUGAAGAAGCAAUAUAGGAAGUUGUCACUGUUGGUCCAUCCUGACAAGUGCAAGCAUCCACAAGCACAAGAAGCUUUUGGAGCCCUGGCAAAAGCACAGCAGCUCCUACUUGAUCCACAGGAAAGAGGGUACAUUCUUGAUCAAGUUACUUCUGCAAAAGAAGAACUGAGGGCAAAAAGGAAAAAAGAGUUGAGGAAAGAUAGUGCAUCCAAGAUAAAAUCCCAAGUAGAUGAGGGGAAGUAUGAAGAACAGUUUGAAAGAUCGGACGAAUUUCAGAAGCAGCUAAUAAUUAAAGUUCGUGAGAUUUUGACAGACAAAGAAUGGCGUAGGAGGAAAAUGCAGAUGAGGAUAUCAGAGGAAGAAGGAAGACUGAAGAAGGACGAGGAGGAAACAAAAGAAAUGUGGAAGAGGAAGAGAGAGCAUGAAGAGAAGUGGGAGGAGACGAGAGACCAGCGAGUCUCUAGCUGGAGGGAUUUCAUGAAGACAGGAAAGAAGGCACGGAAAGGAGAGCUCAAACCUCCAAGGCUCAAGACUGAAGACCCGAACAAAUCUUAUGUUCAGAGGCCAGUAAAGCGUGGUUAA